AGCCUCAUCUCAAUGCUCAACUAGUUGGCCUGAUCCUCAUCAAGCUCACCAACAUUUUCUCAACCUAGAAUGACCCUCAGUCCAAUGCUCCUCUUGUCGAGACGAUCUAUAUAGUGCUUCCUUGGGUAGGCAUUUUGAGAGUGCAUCAUAGACUUGUUGCAUUGAGUAUAAUGUGCACUCCUCAAACUUUUGACUCUACACUCCCUACCCCAGACUUGAUGUUUCCAUAGAGCUCCCUCGUGAGGUUAAGAUAGGUAGGUAGGUCCAGAGAACAUAUGAAUUCCCACCCAAGACUUUAAAUCUUUCUUCCAAUCCUAAAUGAAAGUGGUACCUUGAUGGGUUCACAGUGAGGAGGAGAAGGAGGUGCUUGUGGUGGAGUUGUCUAUUCCUAGCUGCUUG
rnacentral:lncRNA from 1 species